UACAGAGGUCUCAAGCGUUGUUCGGAUUCAUUGGGCGUAAAGGGUGCGUAGGCGGCGCGGUAAGUCGGGUGUGAAAUCUUGGAGCUUAACUCCGAAACUGCAUUCGAUACUGCCGUGCUUGAGGACUGGAGAGGAGACUGGAAUUUACGGUGUAGCGGUGAAAUGCGUAGAUAUCGUAAGGAAGACCAGUGGCGAAGGCGGGUCUCUGGACAAGUUCCUGACGCUGGAGGCACGAAGGCCAGGGGAGCAAACGGGG
rnacentral:rRNA from 1 species